GAUGAACGCUGGCGGUAUGCUUAACACAUGCAAGUCGAACGGACUCUUCGGAGUUAGUGGCGGACGGGUGAGUAACGCGUGAGAAUCUGGCUUUGGGUUCGGGACAACCACUGGAAACGGUGGCUAAUACCGGAUGUGCCGAGAGGUAAAAGAGAAAUUGCCUGAAGAUGAGCUCGCGUCUGAUUAGCUAGUUGGUGAGGUAAAGGCUCACCAAGGCAGCGAUCAGUAGCUGGUCUGAGAGGAUGACCAGCCACACUGGGACUGAGACACGGCCCAGACUCCUACGGGAGGCAGCAGUGGGGAAUUUUCCGCAAUGGGCGAAAGCCUGACGGAGCAAUACCGCGUGAGGGAAGAAGGCUCUUGGGUUGUAAACCUCUUUUCUUAGGGAAGAACAAAAUGACGGUACCUAAGGAAUCAGCAUCGGUUAACUCCGUG
rnacentral:rRNA from 1 species